GAAAGAAAGAGAAAUAAAGCUCUUUACAUAUACACAUAAACAUCCUUUGUAUUUUUUUCUGCUUGACUCAGCUUAACACGUACCUACUUGGAAACCAUUUAUCAUACAUCCGUGUAUUUACCCCUGCCCUAGUAUUUACCACAACACGUUGUGACUGCUUUAUGAACAGCACAGUGCCAUGCUCUUACAAGAACUCACAGUGACUCUCUGCUUCUACUUUCAGAAUCAAAAAGAAUUCCUGGAGCUAAAGAAUACAUUUCAAGAAAUCAGAACUUCUCUUGAAAGUAUUAAAAGCAGAUUAGACCUUGUAGAAGAAUCUCUGGUCUUGAAAACAAAACUUCCUACACACUCUAGAUAACUGGAAAUAAAAAUCCAGAAGAAUAGCAAUUAAAAAUGAGAACAGCAG